CCUACGGGCGGCUGCAGUGAGGAAUAUUGGUCAAUGGACGAGAGUCUGAACCAGCCAAGUAGCGUGAAGGAUGACUGCCCUAUGGGUUGUAAACUUCUUUUAUAUGGGAAUAAAACGUUCCACGUGUGGGAUUUUGUAUGUACCAUAUGAAUAAGGAUCGGCUAACUCCGUGCCAGCAGCCGCGGUAAUACGGAGGAUCCGAGCGUUAUCCGGAUUUAUUGGGUUUAAAGGGAGCGUAGGUGGAUUGUUAAGUCAGUUGUGAAAGUUUGCAGCGCAACCGUAAAAUUGCAGUUGAAACUGGCAGUCUUGAGUACAGUAGAGGUGGGCGGAAUUCGUGGUGUAGCGGUGAAAUGCUUAGAUAUCACGAAGAACUCCGAUUGCGAAGGCAGUUCACUGGACUGCAGCUGACACUGAGGCUCGAAAGUGUGGGUAUCAAACAGGAUUAGAUACCCGAGUAGUC
rnacentral:rRNA from 1 species